rnacentral:rRNA from 1 species
GGCCCGCACAAGCGGUGGCUUAUGUGGUNUAANNNGAAGNNACGCGAAGAACCUUACCAGGACUUGACAUCCUACUAACGAGGUAGAGAUACGUCAGGUGCCCUUCGGGGAAAGUAGNGACAGGUGGUGCAUGGUUGUCGUCAGCUCGUGUCGUGAGANGNUGGGUUAAGUCCCGCAAGAGCGCAACCCCUAUUGUUAGUUGCUACGCAAGAGCACUCUAGCGAGACUGCCGUUGACAAAACGGAGGAAGGUGGGGACGACGUCAAAUCAUCAUGCCCCUUAUGUCCUGGGCUACACACGUAAUACAAUGGCGGUCAACAGAGGGAUGCAAAGCCGUGAGGCAGAGCGAACCCCUAAAAGCCGUCUCAGUUCGGAUCGUAGGCUGCAACUCGCCUACGUGAAGUCGGAAUCGCUAGUAAUCGCGGAUCAGAAUGCCGCGGUGAAUACGUUCCCGGGCCUUGUACACACCGCCCGUCACACCAUGAGAGUCGGGAACACCCGAAGCCCGUAGCCUAACUGCAAAGAGGGCGCGGUCGAAGGUGGGUUCGAUAAUUGGGGNG